UUUUAUUCUCCUUGUCUAUUCAUAAUAGUCUGGAACAGGGCGUCGCCAUGCUGUGAAGCGCUGGCCAACUUCCACCUUCACUGGAAAGCAAUGCAAGUUGGUCCUUCCUGCCGAGUCCCCAGACAAGAAGUUUGUCCUUGUUAUAGGGACUUCUCAUCUGCGAAGCAUCGUGGAUGGUUUUGUGGAGACCCCAGCAGAUCUUUCUGUCGGUGUCCUGUCCGUUCCGGGGGCCUGUGCAAGGCACUUGCUGAUGGAGGUCCGAAAUGCUGUCGUUCACCGCACUCCAGAUGUGGUCGUUCUUCUGGCGCCGGGCAAUGACUUGACCGGCAGCAGGACCGUCACUGCGGCUGGAGCAGACUUUGUCAAGCUCCUUCAAUGUCUUCUUGGGCGAUGGACUGAGGUUGUCGUGGUGGAUUUUCCUCCAAGGCGAAACGUAGUCUUUGCUAGGCUUCCUGUAUACUGAGUUUCACCAGGCAGCUGCAGGCGUCCCUUACUCCUCUGUGGCUGAUUGUUUCCCAUGGCAUCGUCGUGACCUAUG